rnacentral:rRNA from 1 species
UACGAAGGGGGCUAGCGUUGCUCGGAAUUAUUGGGCGUAAAGCGCGCGUAGGCGGUUACUCAAGUCGGAUGUGAAAGCCCUCGGCUUAACUGAGGGAGUGCACCCGAAACUGAGUAGCUAGAGUACUAAAGAGGGUCGCGGAAUUCCCGGUGUAGAGGUGAAAUUCGUAGAUAUCGGGAGGAACACCGGUGGCGAAGGCGGCGACCUGGGUAGAUACUGACGCUGAGGCGCGAAAGCGUGGGGAGCAAACAGGG